UACGGGGGGGCAAGCGUUGUUCGGAAUUACUGGGCGUAAAGGGCGCGUAGGCGGUCUGCUAAGUUGGAUGUGAAAACUCUGGGCUUAACCCAGAGCCUGCAUUCAAUACUGACAGGCUAGAGUUCUGGAGGGGAUAGCGGAAUUCCUGGUGUAGCGGUGAAAUGCGUAGAUAUCAGGAGGAACACCGGUGGCGAAGGCGGCUAUCUGGACAGAGUCUGACGCUGAGGCGCGAAAGCUAGGGGAGCAAACAGG
rnacentral:rRNA from 1 species